GCCCAGGUGGCGGAAUCGGUAGACGCGCUAGCUUCAGGUGCUAGUGGGGGAAACCCCGUGGAAGUUCGAGUCUUCUCCUGGGCACCA
rnacentral:tRNA from 1 species